AAAAAAGAGAAAGAGAGCACCAUAAGAACCCAAAAGUCCAACCAUCUCUCAGAUAAGGGCACUAUAGAAUAACUUUUGACUGCAUUAUUCCAGAUAACAUCAGGUUUCCCUUCCAACGGAUGGCCACACAAUAUUGUUCCAUAAUGUCUUGAAUCCUUUGCGGAACAAACCACUGUGCUAUUUUUAUCUCAGAUACUGCUUUCUGCUUAUGUUUUUG
rnacentral:misc_RNA from 1 species